rnacentral:rRNA from 1 species
UAAUAGUGUAUAUUAAAGUUGUUGCAGUUAAAAAGCUCGUAGUUGAAUGUUGGUGUCGAACGAGCGGUCAGCUUCGGCUGUACUGCUCUCUCGACUCCUUCCUUCUGUGGACUACGUCGCACUUUACUGUGUGGCGCUAGGACGCAGAUCGUUUACUGUGAAAAAAUUAGAGUGUUCAAAGCAGGCCGUACGCUUGAAUACAUUAGCAUGGAAUAAUGGAAUAGGACGUCGGGCCUAUUUUGUUGGUUCUAGAACCGUCGUAAUGAUUAAUAGGGACAGUUGGGGCCGUUUAUAUUCCGUAGUCAGAGGUGAAAUUCUUGGAUUUACGGAAGAUAAACUACUGCGAAAGCAUUCGGCAAGGAUGUUUUCGUUAA